rnacentral:rRNA from 1 species
GAAUGCUGACAUAAGUAACGAUAAAGCGGGUGAAAAGCCCGCUCGCCGGAAGACCAAGGGUUCCUGUCCAACGUUAAUCGGGGCAGGGUGAGUCGACCCCUAAGGCGAGGCCGAAAGGCGUAGUCGAUGGGAAACGGGUUAAUAUUCCCGUACUUGGUGUUACUGCGAAGGGGGGACGGAGAAGGCUAUGUUGGCCGGGCGACGGUUGUCCCGGUUUAAGCGUGUAGGUGUGUGUUCCAGGUAAAUCCGGUUCACUUUAACACUGAGGCGUGACGACGAGGCACUACGGUGCUGAAGCAACAAAUGCCCUGCUUCCAGGAAAAGCCUCUAAGCAUCAGGUAACAUCAAAUCGUACCCCAAACCGACACAGGUGGUCAGGUAGAGAAUACCAAGGCGCUUGAGAGAACUCGGGUGAAGGAACUAGGCAAAAUGGUGCCGUAACUUCGGGAGAAGGCACGCUGACACGUAGGUGAAGUGAUUUACUCAUGGAGCUGAAGUCAGUCGAAGAUACCAGCUGGCUGCAACUGUUUAUUAAAAACACAGCACUGUGCAAACACGAAAGUGGACGUAUACGGUGUGACGCCUGCCCGGUGCCGGAAGGUUAAUUGAUGGGGUCAGCGCAAGCGAAGCUCCUGAUCGAAGCCCCGGUAAACGGCGGCCGUAACUAUAACGGUCCUAAGGUAGCGAAAUUCCUUGUCGGGUAAGUUCCGACCUGCACGAAUGGCGUAAUGAUGGCCAGGCUGUCUCCACCCGAGACUCAGUGAAAUUGAACUCGCUGUGAAGAUGCAGUGUACCCGCGGCAAGACGGAAAGACCCCGUGAACCUUUACUAUAGCUUGACACUGAACAUUGAGCCUUGAUGUGUAGGAUAGGUGGGAGGCUUUGAAGCGUGGACGCCAGUCUGCGUGGAGCCGACCUUGAAAUACCACCCUUUAAUGUUUGAUGUUCUAACGUGGACCCGUGAUCCGGGUUGCGGACAGUGUCUGGUGGGUAGUUUGACUGGGGCGGUCUCCUCCUAAAGAGUAACGGAGGAGCACGAAGGUUGGCUAAUCCUGGUCGGACAUCAGGAGGUUAGUGCAAUGGCAUAAGCCAGCUUGACUGCGAGCGUGACGGCGCGAGCAGGUGCGAAAGCAGGUCAUAGUGAUCCGGUGGUUCUGAAUGGAAGGGCCAUCGCUCAACGGAUAAAAGGUACUCCGGGGAUAACAGGCUGAUACCGCCCAAGAGUUCAUAUCGACGGCGGUGUUUGGCACCUCGAUGUCGGCUCAUCACAUCCUGGGGCUGAAGUAGGUCCCAAGGGUAUGGCUGUUCGCCAUUUAAAGUGGUACGCGAGCUGGGUUUAGAACGUCGUGAGACAGUUCGGUCCCUAUCUGCCGUGGGCGCUGGAGAACUGAGGGGGGCUGCUCCUAGUACGAGAGGACCGGAGUGGACGCAUCACUGGUGUUCGGGUUGUCAUGCCAAUGGCACUGCCCGGUAGCU